UACGUAGGGUGCGAGCGUUAAUCGGAAUUACUGGGCGUAAAGCGUGCGCAGGCGGUUUUGUAAGCCAGAUGUGAAAUCCCCGGGCUCAACCUGGGAAUUGGCAUUUGUGACUGCACGGCUAGAGUGUGUCAGAGGGGGGUAGAAUUCCACGUGUAGCAGUGAAAUGCGUAGAGAUGUGGAGGAAUACCGAUGGCGAAGGCAGCCCCCUGGGAUAACACUGACGCUCAUGCACGAAAGCGUGGGGAGCAAACAGG
rnacentral:rRNA from 1 species